rnacentral:rRNA from 1 species
AUGGACCGUCGCCGGGAGAAGGUCGCAGUGGCACCACCGGCUCCGCCUCUGUUCGCAGCCGCCAACAGCUCCUCCGGUCAGUCAGCACCUGGUCUUUGGCCAAUGUAUACUCAUCCACCUGAUGGUUUUCUUAGUUUAUCAGGCAGUCCACGAACCCCACCAUUCCAGCCAAUGCACUAUCCAUCUUAUGUCCCGCCUCCUCAACAAGAGCAACAGGAGAGUCUCCAUUUUGUCGGUGUCCCCUCACAUGUUGCAUUCUCAACGCCGCCGCCGCCGCAACCACCGCCACCAGUUCAUAGUAAAAGGAAAAAAAAACAUCCGAGUCUGCUUCAGGUAGAGGUUCUUUACAAAAAAAAAACCCAUGUUGUAGAGCUUGAAGAUGAUCCAGAGCCUUCAAGGUGUGCGCAGCGUCUGAAUUGGAUACAACAGGAAGAGAAGAGAUUGGCAAGCGCUUGGUUGGAACUUUCAACUGAUCCCAUUGAAGGGAAUGGCAACAAGAGAGAUAAGUAUUGGGAUGACAUAGCUGUUCAAUAUAACAGUCUCACCCCCGCAGAUCGUCAUAGAGAUGUCGUGCAAUUGAAGAGCCAUUUUCAAAAGGUGAAGAGAAAGAUCAACAUUUUCCAUGGUGCAUAUAAUGCUAUGUGUAAGCUAUACACUAGUGGUUAUGGUGAGGAGCAGCUACAGGCCUUCGCCUUGGAGAAAUAUGAAGCCAACCAACAAUCAGCUUUCCAACAUUUGACAAUGUGGAGAGAACUUAAGGACAACGGAAAGUGGCUUGCAGCAAUGAAAACAAUGAAUGGGGAGCAAGAUAAAACAGAUAUAACAUCUGGUGCUAUUGAUGUGGAAGAUGAGGAGCGCCCUCCGGGUCGUGAUACAUCUAAGGAUGAGCGUGAUGGUAAACGCAAACCGUAG